rnacentral:rRNA from 1 species
AGUGAACGCUGGCGGUAGACCUAACACAUGCAAGUCGAACGGCAGCACAGUAAGAGCUUGCUCUUACGGGUGGCGAGUGGCGGACGGGUGAGGAAUACAUCGGAAUCUACUUUUUCGCGGGGGAUAACGUAGGGAAACUUACGCUAAUACCGCAUACGACCUACGGGUGAAAGCAGGGGAUCUUCGGACCUUGCGCGAUUGAAUGAGCCGAUGUCGGAUUAGCUAGUUGGCGGGGUAAAGGCCCACCAAGGCGACGAUCCGUAGCUGGUCUGAGAGGAUGAGCAGCCACACUGGAACUGAGACACGGUCCAGACUCCUACGGGAGGCAGCAGUGGGGAAUAUUGGACAAUGGGCGCAAGCCUGAUCCAGCCAUACCGCGUGGGUGAAGAAGGCCUUCGGGUUGUAAAGCCCUUUUGUUGGGAAAGAAAAGCAGCAGGUUAAUACCCCGCUGUUCUGACGGUACCCAAAGAAUAAGCACCGGCUAACUUCGUG